rnacentral:sRNA from 1 species
UACUCCAUGUGAGGCCGCACCUGCGCCUUA